UACGGAGGGUGCAAGCGUUAUCCGGAUUCACUGGGUUUAAAGGGAGCGUAGGUGGGCUGGUAAGUCAGUGGUGAAAUCUCCGAGCUUAACUUGGAAACUGCCGUUGAUACUAUCUGCCUUGAAUAUUGUGGAGGUGAGCGGAAUAUGUCAUGUAGCGGUGAAAUGCUUAGAUAUGACAUAGAACACCAAUUGCGAAGGCAGCUCGCUACACAUAUAUUGACUCUGAGGCACGAAAGCGUGGGGAUCAAACAGG
rnacentral:rRNA from 1 species